rnacentral:rRNA from 1 species
AUUGAACGCUGGCGGCAUGCCUUACACAUGCAAGUCGAACGGCAGCACGGGCGCAAUCCUGGCGGCGAGUGGCGAACGGGUGAGUAAAGUAUCGGAACGUGCCCAGUCGUGGGGGAUAACGUAGCGAAAGUUACGCUAAUACCGCAUACGAUCUAUGGAUGAAAGCGGGGGAUCGCAAGACCUCGCGCGAUUGGAGCGGCCGAUAUCAGAUUCGGUAGGUGGUGGGGUAAAGGCUCACCAAGCCGACGAUCUGUAGCUGGUCUGAGAGGACGACCAGCCACACUGGGACUGAGACACGGCCCAGAAUCCUACGGGAGGCAGCAGGGGGGAAUUUUGGACAAUGGGCGAAAGCCUGAUCCAGCCAUGCCGCGUGCAGGAUGAAGGCCUUCGGGUUGUAAACUGCUUUUGUACGGAACGAAAAGGUUUGGCCUAAUAAGCUGAGCUCAUGACGGUACCGUAAGAAUAAGCACCGGCUAACUACGUGCCAGCCGCCGCGGUAA